UACGUAGGCAGCAAACGUUGUUCGGAGUUACUGGGCGUAAAGGGUGUGUAGGCGGUUGUUUAAGUUUGGUGUGAAAUCUCCCGGCUCAACUGGGAGGGUGCGCCGAAUACUGAAUGACUAGAGUGCGGGAGAGGAAAGUGGAAUUCCUGGUGUAGCGGUGAAAUGCGUAGAUAUCAGGAGGAACACCGGUGGUGUAGACGGCUUUCUGGACCGUAACUGACGCUGAGACACGAAAGCGUGGGUAGCAAACAGG
rnacentral:rRNA from 1 species